AUAUCAUCUUUUCAAAGUGAUGUAUUUUGACAUUAUCCCGAUGUAAGAAACUCUGUGUUGAUCACAUCUGAUUUUGCGGUUAUAAGUGUAAAAUCAUAACAGAAUGACAUGGAAAAUU